GUGUCUUUUUCCUGCCACUGAGUAAGGGAUGAUCUUCACACACAUGCCCCACUCCGCCCCCAUCUCGGCGCACCGUUUCUCCAGGAAGGCAUCUUCUCAGAGACAAAAGAUUCUGAGAGACAUCUAAUUCCCUACCAAAAGUGUCUCAGUGUUUGUGCAAUCAAAGGAAAUCAGAAAAGAAAUGAUCCUCACCGCUCUGUGGUCCAAUCCUCUCAUUUUACAAAUAAGGACCCCAAGAUUGGAGAGAGGAGGACAUUUGCCCAUGGUCCAUCAGCAAGCAGAGGACCCAGCUCCCCAGCCUCCUGACUUUCAGUCCGACACUCUGCCCCCACCCAACACUGCUUCUGCUUGUGCAUGCCUUCUGUGACUAACCAGGGAGGAGGGGAGCUGAAACAAGCUCCCACCGAAAUAGGCUGCUGCCUGUGCGUGAUUAUGUUGCUAUGAGAACCUCAGUGGGUGUGUUUCCUCCUUUCGCUGUUGAAAUCUUUUGCUUUGCUUGGCUUCUCCCCAAGCACAGACACGUCUCCCUUUGGAAUGGGGAGUGGAGAGGCUGAGAUGGAGAGCUAUAUUUUCAUGGCAAGAGUUUUCUGUCCCAACCCAUCCAACCCAGAGCCAGCCUGGGGCUGUGAGUGAGGAGCCUAUGCCACUAGGGUGGUUCCAUAAAGGCUGGAGUACAGGAGUGAACUGUUUUGAAAGUGGAUACUCUAGCCCCCUGUUGAGCUGUCUUAGAACAAAGAGGUGCUGUUCCUGCUAUGUAACCACCUAAGAACAAAUUCACAAGCAAGCUAAUUAUUACUUUAAGAGACGAAGUUUGGGGUGAUUUGUUAUACACCAAGAGAUGACCUGAACAUUCACAUCUUAUGAUUGUGAAAAGUGCCUAGCACAUAGUAGGUACUUUGUAGAACUAUUUUCUCAGCAUCCCUACCAUUCCUGUGAAUUCAGUCUUUCUCUAUCUCUUUUGCAAAAAUAUAUUAGCAUAGUCUUUCACCAGGUUAAUUAGUUUAGUCAUCCCACAAAUAAUUUACUAGGCAUCUCUUAAAUGCCCAGCUCAUUAAUAGGCACUAGCCUUAACAAGAGGCAACAAAACAUAUUGAAUUGACCAUUGAUGAGCUCUUAAUGUAGUCAUGUUGGAUGCUUUUACAGGUACAGAUCUUCUGUAGAACUCUUAAGGAGAUUUUCAUGGGAGGCAAGAAAACAUGUGGGAUGAUAAGGGGUUCAGAGAGUUCACUAGUGUGUGAGUCAAAUGGGUAGUUUGAAACAAUAGACCCUACCAGGUAAAGAGGUUCUGAAGACGCAUUUUAUUUAUGUAAUUUUUCUUAUACUAGAUCUUCAACACAACAAAAGUAGAGUGCUUAGAACAAUGCCUAUCUCAUGGCAAGUGCACAAAUAUUAUGUCAACAUUCGCUAGGCCCUGUCCUAGGCACAUGAGUUAAAUUUUAUAGAACACUUGCUAAGUCUUAUAGAACACUUACUAUAUGCCAGAGAUUAUUCUUGACCUACCUGUGUUCUCAUGUAGCCCGUUCAACAGCUUUUUGAGGUAGAUACAAUUAUCCCCAUAUAACAGAUGAGAAAACAAAAACACAAGGAAUUGCCCAAGUGGUAGAGGCAAGAUUCAAAUCUAAGAUACCUGAUUCCAUAGCAUAAACCUCAAGAAGUUGACCAGGUUCAGGGAGCAAGACAGUGGUUCUCAACCUUGGCUAUACAGUGGAAUCAUCUGGAGAGCUUUAAAAAUACCAGUGCUUUAGUUCUACCCCCAGAGAGUAUGAUUUAGUGAGGUUUGGGCAUCAGGAUUCUUUAAGCCUCUAAUUCUAAGGGACAGUGAUGAUUGGAGGACAACUGGACAAGAAUAUCUGGAGACAAAAACACCUGCAGAGGAAGAAGAUCCCUAAGUUACAGAAGAUCCAAAACAAGAACCCCACACUGUAAGGAGGUCUAUCUCUAACUCACAGGUUCUUGAGAGGCCUGGACUGGAGGAAAGCUGUGUUGAUGGUUGGGAUGAGACCCUUGGGGAGGGUUACAAUUACAAAGGUUAUCCAGCUUUGUGAGAUGCUGCAGAAGAAGUGAGUUUCCUAUUACUGGAAAGGCUCAGUUAGAUUAAUUGUUGGCGUAAAUGAUGUAGAGGCCCCACAAACGCCAGAAGGUUGAGCAAGCCCUCUGAGGUUCCACCUGCCUUGUGCUGGGACUCUGUAAUUCUGUCUCCUGUCAACUCUGAGCCCAUGCUGGAACCCCAGAAGGUGAAGACUGUACCAUACUUCAUCUCCAGGGGCCAACCAACACUUCCUUUUGCUGCUGCCCAAAAUCCCAGGCCCCUAGAAUCAGGAAGCAGCAUUUUAACUGCGGACCAUGCUGCCUGGGAAAUCUCAGGCUCUAGCUUGUUCCAAUGGUCGUUGCUGCUGAAAGGGGCGACAUAUUAUGUGGUUUUCUCCUCCUCCUCCCAGGGGACCUCACACAUGGCCAGGGUUCACAUAUGGCCACAGCACACUGCAGUGAAUCCACGACUCCUCGAGAAUCAGGCCAGAGCCAUGAUCCAUCACCACCUCAUGGCAGCUACCCCAGCAGUGUUCUUAGUGUCUUCUGGGCCAGAUGGGAGCCAAGCCAAGGCUGCAGCAGCCAGCUACCUGGCUGAGCCUCCAGGCAGCCCCACACCUGGGCCGUUCUCCUACACAAAAGCCUCUGUGGUCCUAUUCCUCCCUAACCCAAGGCCCAAUAUUUUUAAACUGCAUUCCAAAGAACAACUCGCUGAGUGCCACCAAUACCUGCAAAGCAAUAUGAGGUGGGAUUUUUCUUUUGCCAUUAAAACCAGAAUGUUAUUUCUUCCUUGCUCUGAUAAUGUCUGAUUAAAUCAAUUCACUGCGGUUUUGUGCUGGAUAUGAUACUAUUUGCUUUAACAAUAUCUGGGAGGCAUUUUCUUAGUAUAAUACUUCUGCAUUUAUAGCUUAAUCCUGCUGUUUUAUUCUAAAAAGUUGAAUACUCUUGUUACCUACCUUUCUCUAAGGAUGAGAAAGACCCAAAAGAUUCUGUUGUGCUGCCACAACAGAAUUAGCUUUUUCUACUGGGUGGACGUUGUAUACUCUACUCCUUUCCUCCUUUUUAAAUCUUUCAUUAAGGCUCACCUUUUUAUGGGAAAUCUCUCUGGAAUCCCUGAAAGCCAACUGGAAGCCAUUCAGUCUUUCCAGUGCAAUAACUUAAUACAUAUUUUUUUCUGUUAACUUUAUAUGACUAUGGGCCAAGCAAGUGCUAAGUAUUCUGGACUAAAAGGUGAAGAGACUUAUCUCUGCACUGGUGACCCUUAUCUUCCAGGAAGAGUUGGUUAAAUGACUAACUCUAAUAUACUAACUGUUAUAAUAGAUUUAGGUACCAUCGGGGGUCUUAUGCAUUGGUUCUCAUAGGUUAAAUAUAUAUAUAUAAUAUAAUCAAUGGCUUACAGUCAGGUAGGCCCUGCAAGAAGUAUCUACUGAUAUGGACCGGGAGACCCUGGAGGCUGUAGGGCCUCAACCAGAAGCAUGGUAGAUUCCAAGUGUGCCUGGAGACACAUUCUUUUUACCAAGAUACCAAAGUUCUUGUAUGCCUUGGAAACUUUUACAGAUGAGAAGUUUUAUAGCCUUUUCUCUCCAAAUGCACUAUUUACCAAUGUCACUUGUGGCAUAACACAUUGUCAUCUGCCUUAGCAUAGGGCUGACCUCUGGUGCGUCAGGGCAACCCGACCUGAAAACGCAUAAUGAGUGGAGGUGGUAAAACAAAGCUGUGAUUGAGUCCACCUUUUCCUUUCUGGACCAUGUAACCAUUCUGAUCCCUUUCUUCUCAGGGGAUUUUAUUUUAAUUUAAACUUUGCUAGAUUUUUCUUUCAUUUAAAACUUCACCCCCUUAAGGUAAUAUUAACAUUUUACUGUGUACUCUUCUCUAUUUUUUGCUCAUGCAAAUAUAUAUAAGACCUAAGUUAUAUAUAUAAAAGUGUGUGCUGUUGGUGUAUGCUGUAUAUAAAUGGAAUCAUGUUAUAUACAUUACUCAGAAACUUGCUUUCUUCAUUAAACAGUGUAUAAUGGGCCUCUUUCCAGGUUACUACAUGUAGAUCCAAGUUAUUUUUAAAAGUGUAUAACAUCUCACUGUAUGGAUAAACCAUACUUUCCAAACAAUUCACCUACUGAUGAAUUUUCAAGUUCUAAGCAAUAUUUUAAUAAAUGAGUUUUAAAUAUACCCUUAUGAACAGAAGCUUUUAUUUUCAUAUGAUAGUUUCCCCCAAAGUGAUAUUACCUUAAUAUCCAUUGCCAGUUCCUCAUGAAAUUGUAAUUUCUAAGACUGUAGCUGGAACAAUCAGAAGGUGCAAAUCUAAUUAUCUUUCCCUUUCCUACCCAACAUCGCCCUGGAUCACGCACUUGAGGAGGAAGAUCCAUGAAAUAAAAGACGUAAUCCUGUUUUAAAUGUGUUUCUAUAGCAAGAGUCUUCCAAUGCCUGGGGAAAGGCUCAUGAGAGAUGCUGAGACCUGGGGCAUUCUUUCCGAGAGGUCUUUACAGAGAACAGAUCACUUCCAAUUGCUGGGCAACAGAGCAUGGAUUUCAUGUUACCAAGAAGUACUGUGAUCCGAAAAACUUAAGAUUUUCUUAAUUGGCAUCAGUUACCUGUCUCUUAGGUAGAACUACCACAAAGGACACUCAGGCCUGAGGUGCACCCUCUCUUUCCUUUCCUUCCAGAGGUUGUGCCUGCAGGAGAGCCUGGAUUGAUAGCAGCCUGCCACCCCUGCCCAUACCAGUGCCUAGUAGAAGCCCACUCCCUCAGAAACCACACUCCCCACUCCCCAGAAGGUCUUGUUUGACUCCCUUUUAAACCAACAUUUUCUGUAUUCAGACUUGCCUGUAAUAAGUGACUUACCCAUUGCCCUCAACCUAAGGAAGCCUUGCCAUUUAAAACCUCCCAAUGGAGCCUAUCAAAGCGUGCUUCAAAGUGUGAGGGAGGCUGAGAGAGGAAGUAAGUGAGAUGAAGGAGGCGUUUAACAGAGCCUAGGAGAAAGAGCUUUGUGGUCUUACAGAACAGUAAGUUAACCUCUCCAUCUGUGUACAAACAGCUUAAUGGUGAUCACUGCCUGGCUAAGGGGUUGUGAGGACAAAAUGAGCCAAUGCAGAUGAAGCAUCUGGCACAGUUCCUGGGACAUAGUAUUGUUAACACAGGUGAGUUUCCUUUUCUUCAGCUCGUCCUAAAAGACCGUAUUUAACCAUAGCAGACAGAGACACAGAGUAAGAAGGAGAAAGAGCAUGACAGCAGGGGUCAGCGUGCCUGUGCACUACUAGUCCCAGCUCUGUCAUUUAGCAGCCAGGUGGCCUUAGGAAAGUCAUUUAACUUUUCUGGGCCUGUUUCCUCCUCUUUAAGAGAUUUGCCUGAGACAAACCCCGCAUCCUCCUUCUGUUUGCCAUUUCAUUCAUGAUGUGGAUUAUGAUGCUAACCACCUCCAAAUGACAGCAAAGACUGGUCAGAGGCAUCUCAAAUCAAAAUUCAACUCUGAUGGCCAAAAUAAAGGCUGAAGAGCAGAACGCCCCCUCCUUCCCACUGUAAAACUGAUGGGAAGGGAAGUCAGCCUGCCAUCAGUUCAGGGGUUUACAAAGGAGGCCUGUAAGUAAUGUUAAUUACUGUGUUCAUUCCAGCACUGGGCUCUAGUUUAGCUUUUCCAGAGGUCGAAAGAGGUGCCAUUUUUUAAGAGCCCCAUUUGGCUCCAGCAGCCUCAAUAGUAGUAGCCAAGCAGCCAUUAUAAGUAGUCAUCACUCGAUUUCCUCAUCACUUGUCAGGAGGCAGAGCUUGAUGGGGAAGUCAAUGAAUUUCUCAGCAAUACAGGCUACUGGGCUGUAAGUCAGCAUAACCCCAUAGCUCUCAAUGAUCCAUGUCAAUACAUGAAUGACACAAAUCGCAGAUUAUUGAAAAAAAAUUGUUCUUUGACUCAUUGUAUGUAUUAUGUAUUUUUACAUGCAAAUAAAAUUUCUACCUGUCUAUCAAAAAAAAAAAAAAAAAA
rnacentral:lncRNA from 1 species